rnacentral:rRNA from 1 species
GACAGAGGAUGCAAGCGUUAUCCGGAAUGAUUGGGCGUAAAGCGUCUGUAGGUGGCUUUUUAAGUCCGCCGUCAAAUCCCAGGGCUCAACCCUGGACAGGCGGUGGAAACUACCAAGCUGGAGUACGGUAGGGGCAGAGGGAAUUUCCAGUGGAGCGGUGAAAUGUGUAGAUAUUGGAAAGACCACCGAUGGCGAAGGCACUCUACUGGGCCAUGGACUGACACUGAGAGACGAAAGCUAGGGAAGCAAAUGGG